rnacentral:tRNA from 1 species
GGAGAAAUGGCAGAGUGGUCGAUUGCGGCGAUCUCGAAAGUCGUUUUAGUCUUGGCUAACGAGGGUUCGAAUCCCUCUUUCUCC